GACGAACGCUGGCGACGUGCUUUAUACAUGCAAGUCGAACGAUGAAGUUCCUUCGGGAAUGGAUUAGUGGCGAACGGGUGAGGAACACGUGAGAAACCUGCCUUUCAUUCUGGGAUAACACCGGGAAACCGGUGCUAAUACCGGAUACUCCGUCUUGGCGGCAUCGCCGAGCCGGGAAAAAAUUUUGAUGAAAGAUGGUCUCGCGGCCUAUCAGCUAGUUGGUGAGGUAACGGCUCACCAAGGCGACGACGGGUAGCCGGCCUGAGAGGGUGAUCGGCCACACUGGGACUGAGACACGGCCCAGACUCCUACGGGAGGCAGCAGUGGGGAAUAUUGCACAAUGGGCGCAAGCCUGAUGCAGCAACGCCGCGUGAGGGACGACGGCCUUCGGGUUGUAAACCUCUUUUAGUAGGGAAGAAGCGAAAGUGACGGUACCUGCAGAAAAAGCACCGGCUAACUACGUGCCAGCAGCCGCAGUAA
rnacentral:rRNA from 1 species